rnacentral:rRNA from 1 species
UACGAAGGGGGCUAGCGUUGUUCGGAAUUACUGGGCGUAAAGGGCGCGUAGGCGGCGUGUCAAGUCAGGCGUGAAAGCCCCGGGCUCAACCUGGGAACCGCGCUUGAGACUGGCAUGCUCGAGUUCGGGAGAGGAUGGUGGAAUUCCCAGUGUAGAGGUGAAAUUCGUAGAUAUUGGGAAGAACACCGAUGUCGAAGGCAGCCAUCUGGACCGACACUGACGCUGAGGCGCGAAAGCGUGGGGAGCAAACAGG